UGCCUAAUACAUGCAAGUCGAACGCAUUUGUGGUUGAAAUGAUAUGAAGAACUUGUUCAGAUUUGAUUUUCAACAUUGCAAUGAGUGGCGAACGGGUGAGUAACACGUGGGAAACCUACCUCUUAGCAGGGGAUAACAUUUGGAAACAAAUGCUAAUACCGUAUAAUAAUUAAAACCGCAUGGUUUUAGUUUAAAAGAUGGUCUUGCUAUCACUAAGAGAUGGUCCCGCGGUGUAUUAGUUAGUUGGUGAGGUAAUGGCUCACCAAGACAAUGAUACAUAGCCGAGUUGAGAGACUGACCGGCCACAAUGGGACUGAGACACGGCCCAUACUCCUACGGGAGGCAGCAGUAGGGAAUCUUCCACAAUGGACGAAAGUCUGAUGGAGCAACGCCGCGUGUGUGAUGAAGGGUUUCGGCUCGUAAAACACUGUUGUAAGAGAAGAAUGACAUUGAGAGUAACUGUUCAAUGUGUGACGGUAUCUUACCAGAAAGGAACGGCUAAAUACGUG
rnacentral:rRNA from 1 species